UACUGGGUCAUCAACAGACUUAGCAAGUCCCUGGAGGAGCGAGAGCGACGACUGGACACAAAUAUGUCAAGAAGCUAGAAGAAAUCAGAUGGAGAACAAGAGAUUUGCUCAUAUAGGCACCAGUAACCAGGUUGGAAGCUAAUGUUGCCCAUACCCAUUAGAUUACUAAUGGUCUCUGCAAUCUAUGAGGCUCCUAAUGACAAAUGUUCAGUCAUCUCUCCAAGAGAAACCCAUGGACAGAUGAGAUAAGAGUGACCCUUCACCAUCUAGAUGGAUGGGCUAUCACAUGCAUUGAAGUGAGAGUUAUGGUGAAAGAACUCAGUAAACCCCAUUGCCUGGGAUGCUGCGGUUGCUGCUGGACAAAAAGUUGAUCAUUAUAGGUCAAGAAACUGUAUACAGAAGGAUAACUAUAUCAG